rnacentral:rRNA from 1 species
AAAGGAAUUGGACGGGGCCCGCACAAGCGGUGGAGCAUGUGGUUUAAUUCGAAGCCAACGCGAAGAACCUUACCAGGUCUUGACAUCCCCUGACAACCCGAGAGAUCGGGCGUUCCCCUUCGGGGGGACAGGGUGACAGGUGGUGCAUGGUUGUCGUCAGCUCGUGUCGUGAGAUGUUGGGUUAAGUCCCGCAACGAGCGCAACCCUCGACCUUAGUUGCCAGCAUUCAGUUGGGCACUCUAAGGUGACUGCCGGCUAAAAGUCGGAGAAGUGGGGAUGACGUCAAAUCAUCAUGCCCCUUAUGACCUGGGCUACACACGUGCUACAAUGGGCGGUACAAAGGGUCGCGAACCCGCGAGGGGGAGCCAAUCCCAAAAAGCCGCUCUCAGUUCGGAUUGCAGGCUGCAACUCGCCUGCAUGAAGCCGGAAUCGCUAGUAAUCGCGGAUCAGCAUGCCGCGGUGAAUACGUUCCCGGGCCUU